rnacentral:rRNA from 1 species
CAGCCGCCGCGGUAAUACAGAGGGUGCGAGCGUUAAUCGGAUUUACUGGGCGUAAAGCGUGCGUAGGCGGCUUCUUAAGUCGGAUGUGAAAUCCCUGAGCUUAACUUAGGAAUUGCAUUCGAUACUGGGAAGCUAGAGUAUGGGAGAUGAUGGUAGAAUUCCAGGUGUAGCGGUGAAAUGCGUAGAGAUCUGGAGGAAUACCGAUGGCGAAGGCAGCCAUCUGGCCUAAUACUGACGCUGAGGUACGAAAGCAUGGGGAGCAAACAGGAUUAGAUACCCGCGUAGUCCCUGUCUCUUAUAC